GCGAACGCUGGCGGCAGGCCUAAUACAUGCAAGUCGAGCGGUCCCUUCGGGGGCAGCGGCGGACGGGUGAGUAACGCGUGGGAACGUGCCCUUUGGUACGGAACAACUGAGGGAAACUUCAGCUAAUACCGUAUGUGCCCUUCGGGGGAAAGAUUUAUCGCCAUUGGAGCGGCCCGCGUUGGAUUAGGUAGUUGGUGAGGUAAAGGCUCACCAAGCCUACGAUCCAUAGCUGGUCUGAGAGGAUGAUCAGCCACACUGGGACUGAGACACGGCCCAGACUCCUACGGGAGGCAGCAGUAGGGAAUCUUGCGCAAUGGGCGAAAGCCUGACGCAGCCAUGCCGCGUGAAUGAUGAAGGUCUUAGGAUUGUAAAAUUCUUUCACCGGGGACGAUAAUGACGGUACCCGGAGAAGAAGCCCCGGCUAACUUCGU
rnacentral:rRNA from 1 species